GCAUAAACUAAUCAUCUAUUUUCAUUUACAUUGUUGUUGGACUUUUCAUGUUUUAUAGCCACAGGAGAAAUAAAUUUCUUCAUUUCUUCAUUUAUUUUACAGUCAUGCAAACUCUUACAAAGCAUUGCAAGCCUCUAAUUCAGCACGCAUAGCUGACAUGUCAUUAGAAUUUAACAAACUUUAAAUGCAUCCUAAGCUUCGGCAAAAUAUCAAUAAAUAAUUUUACAUUUAAAUACAUUUCUUUGCAUAUAUUUAUAUAUAUUUUUACACAGUUUGGAGUGUUCUAAACAUUGUAAAGAGCUGUUAAACUUACAAGAGAAUUGUUAAUUAUGAAAUUAAAAAUAAUUACUUGAAUUUUGACAGCAAAUGAAAAUCGUUUAUUGAAGUGUCUCAUUAAAGGGACAAAAAUAAAAUAAAAAUACAACUCACUGUAUUCUGCAGUGUGUAUGAGUAUAUCACAGAGCCCCACAGCAAUAAAACUCCCAGUAAUGUGCAGUUUGAAUGAGUGUAUCACAGAGCUCCACAGCAAUAAAACUACCAAUAAUGUUCAGUUUUUAUGAGUGUAUCACAGAGCUCCACAGCAAUAAAACUCCCAAUAAUGUUCAGUUUGAAUGAGUGUAUCACAAAGCUCCACAGCAAUAAAACUCCCAAUAAUGUUCAGUUUGAAUGAGUGUAUCACAGAGCUCCACAGCAAUAAAACUCCCAGUAAUGUGCAGUUUGAAUGAUUGUAUCACAGAGCUCCACAGCAAUGAAACUCCCAGUAAUGUACAGUUUUAAUGCGUGUCACAGAGCUUCACAGCAAUAAAACUCCCAGUAAUGUACAGUUUGAAUGUGUAUCACAGAGCUCCACGGCAAUAAAACUCCCAGUAAUGUACAGUUUGAGUGCAUGUAUCACAGAGCUCCACAGCAAUAAAACUCCCAGUAAUGUACAGUUUGAAUAUGUAUCACAGAGCUCCACGGCAAUAAAACUCCCAGUAAUGUACAGUUUGAGUGCAUGUAUCACAGAGCUCCGCAGCAAUAAAACUCCCAGUAAUGUACAGUUUGAGUGCGUGUGUCACAGUAGUGUCUUUUAAACUGCAGUAAACCUGUCUGGAGUAAGAUAUGUCAAUCUUGUUCUAAAUAAAACUUGCAGUUAGGUAAGUAAUUUGCUUAUACUGCUCUGAAAUGGCUCCACCUCAUGGCCAUAUCACACAUGCCAAAUGUUCCUUUUUAUAUAUAAUAUGACGACAGGUGUUCCUAUAAGGCAUUUACUACAGUGUUUUCUUUUCAGGAGCAAAACAUGAAACUAAAGUCUUGAUAAACUGCUCUAUAGAUUCUCAGAUAUUUCCACAGCUCUCCCAGAAUACCACACAAAAUAUGCAAAUAAACACAGAUAGCGGUGUCACUCUCUGAUUUCCAGCUUACAUUUCUGCUGGCUCCCAGUGCGAUGCCCCCCUGUUUUAUAACACAUGAUUUAAAGGAACACUAUAGUCACCCAGGAAUUGGUCUGGGUGCAGUGGUCCUGACUUUUUAAGCCUGCAAUGUAAAACGUUAGAGGGUUAAAUUCACCUUGAGUGGCUGAUUUCCUGACAGCCGCUAGCAGAGCUUCUGCUGUAUGGACCACGCGGAACUUGGAACACAGAAGCCCGUAGGAUAGCAAUAAAUGUAAUGCUUUACUAUGUGAAUGCAUUGGAUGAGUGCUCAGCCCUCACCGCGCAUGCGCAUAGGGUCCCCAAUCAUUUUCAGUGAGGUCAUGCCUCCAUGAUGAUGUUGUGGAAGGUGGAGAAGUGAGCAGUGCCUGCCAAGAGUCUCGGCGCCGAAAAAGGGUAAUUCAAAAGCUUUUAAAUAUUUUUUACAGCAAGGGGAGGGGGCUAGAUAUUACUAGAGACAGGGGCAAUACAGUGUUAGAAAUACAGGUUUAUAGUGUCCCUAACAGCCAUGGGCAGGAUAAUAUCUGAGCGAAGCAAUUUGCAGCUGUCAUGUUCCAAAAGGCUCAUCAGCAUGGCACUGACUGGUUUACACAGGUUUUUACUCUGACCGGAUUAAAGUAAGCUUUGUUAAAAUUGUUAUGAAAUGAAAAAUGGACAAAAAGGUCUUGAAAGCAACAUAUUUCAUAAAUCAAGUAGGGUUUGUGUAGUGUCAAUUAACAGAGAAUGGAAUAAUAUACAUUUGCAAAUUAAUCUGAGAUGGAUUUCCAUCAAAGUCCAAUCUCAGCAUACAUUUUCUAUAUAUCCUGAAUUAAAGUAAUAGUUACAUUUCUCAGUGUAUUAAUCAUGAACGCCAUCUUGUCAACACUUCAUUUAACAUGGGCCAGGGUCAGUGGCGUACACAUGACCCAUGGGGCCCCAGUGCGAAAAAUGAUCCAGGUCCCCCACGCUUACUCGGCGCGGGUCGGCCCCCGACACAUGGCGGCGGGCACCUGGUCUACGACCCCGCGACCGCGGUAUGCACACACACUUAAAGGACCAUUACAGACACCCAGAUCACAUCAGCUCAAUGAAGUGGUCUGGGUGCCAGGUCCCUCUAGUUUUAACCCUGCAGCUGAAAACAUAGCUGUUUCAGAGAAACGGCUAUGUUUCACUGAGGGUUAAUCCAGCCUCUGGUGGCUG
rnacentral:lncRNA from 1 species